rnacentral:rRNA from 1 species
GAUGAACGCUAGCGGCAGGCUUAACACAUGCAAGUCGAGGGGCAACACGGGUAGCAAUACCUGGUGGCGACCGGCGCAAGGGUGCGUAACGCGUGAGCAACAUGCCCUAUACAGGGGGAUAAUCCAGGGAAACUUGGUCUAAUAUCCCAUAGUAUUUAGAGGUGGCAUCACCACUAAAUUAAAGCUUCGGUGGUAUAGGAUUGGCUCGCGUGACAUUAGCUGGAUGGUGGGGUAACGGCUCACCAUGGCGAUGAUGUCUAGGGGUUCUGAGAGGAAGACCCCCCACACUGGGACUGAGACACGGCCCAGACUCCUACGGGAGGCAGCAGUGAGGAAUAUUGGACAAUGGAUGGAAAUCUGAUCCAGCCAUGCCGCGUGCAGGAAGACAGCCCUAUGGGUUGUAAACUGCUUUUAUAUGGGAGCAAUAAGGUCUACGUGUAGACUGAUGAGAGUACCAUAUGAAUAAGCAUC